UACGUAGGGGGCAAGCGUUAUCCGGAAUUACUGGGUGUAAAGGGAGCGUAGACGGUAAUGUAAGUCUGGAGUGAAAGACGGGGGCCCAACCCCCGGACUGCUCUGGAAACUAUGUUACUAGAGUGCAGGAGAGGUAAGCGGAAUUCCUAGUGUAGCGGUGAAAUGCGUAGAUAUUAGGAGGAACACCAGUGGCGAAGGCGGCUUACUGGACUGUAACUGACGUUGAGGCUCGAAAGCGUGGGGAGCAAACAGG
rnacentral:rRNA from 1 species